rnacentral:rRNA from 1 species
CGAAUUUCUGCCCUAUCAACUUUCGAUGGUAAGAUAGAGGCUUACCAUGGUGAUCACGGGUGACGGAGAAUUAGGGUUCGAUUCCGGAGAGGGAGCCCGAGAAACGGCUACCACUUCUAAGGAAGGCAGCAGGCGCGCAAAUUACCCAAUCCCGACUCGGGGAGGUAGCGACAAUAAAUACCGAUACGGGUCCCCGACGGGGACCCGUAAUCGGAACGAGAAAGAUUCAAACCCACUAUCGAGGAACGAUUGGAGGGCAAGUCUGGUGCCAGCAGCCGCGGUAAUUCCAGCUCCAAUAGCGUAUAUUAAAGUUGUUGCAGUUAAAAAGCUCGUAGUCGAACUUCGGAACGGACGGAACCAGCCUUCUCUUCGCCUUCCCUCGCGGGAGGACGGGGAGGGGGCCCGUCGAGCGGCGCCGGUCCGCCCCUUCGGGGGCGAGCACCGGUCCGCGCGUUCCCUCCGGUCGGCGGCUCGCCCCCGCUCUUGACUGAGCCGGGGGUAUUCCCUCCCCCCCGAGGGGUUCGGGGGGCGUCCUCGGUCCGGGUCCGUCCCGGCGAGCGGCGUCCCUUCCCUCGGGGGAGGGUUUCGCGCGGGGCCGGAAGGGAGGGCGUCCCCCUCUCGGGGGAAAAGGGGUGGGGAAGGGAAAAAAAGAGGGGGGGGCUUCGGCCUUCCUUCUUUUUUUUUUCCCUCCCUUCUUCCCUCUCCCCCCUCGUUCUCGGUUCUCGCGGAGCUCCGACCCGUUUACCUCGAAUAAAUCAGAGUGUUCAAAGCGGGCAAGUCCAGGCCCGAAUACGUCAGCAUGGGAUAAUGGAACAGGACUCGGGUCCUAUUUUUCCGUCGGUUCGCGUUGGUAUUUAAUUGUCAGAGGUGAAAUUCUCGGAUUCAGGAAAGACCGACUUCAGCGAAAGCAUUCGCCAAGGACGUUUUCAUUGAUCAAGAACGAAAGUUAGGGGAUCGAAGACGAUCAGAUACCGUCGUAGUCUUAACCAUAAACGAUGCCGACCGGGGAUCGGGAGACGCCGCGACGAUUUGAGGGCUCUCCCGGCCCCUCGCGGGAAACCUAGAGUCUUUGGGUUCCGGGGGGAGUAUGGUCGCAAGGCUGAAACUUAAAGGAAUUGACGGAAGGGCACCACCAGGAGUGGAGCCUGCGGC